rnacentral:rRNA from 1 species
GACGAACGCUGGCGGCGUGCUUAACACAUGCAAGUCGAACGGAAAGGCUCCAGCUUGCUGGAGUACUCGAGUGGCGAACGGGUGAGUAACACGUGGGUAAUCUGCCCUGCACUCUGGGAUAAGCCUGGGAAACUGGGUCUAAUACUGGAUAUGACCUUUCUCCUUAUGGGGUUUGGUGGAAAGUUUUUCGGUGUAGGAUGAGCCCGCGGCCUAUCAGCUUGUUGGUGGGGUGAUGGCCUACCAAGGCGACGACGGGUAGCCGGCCUGAGAGGGUGGUCGGCCACAUUGGGACUGAGAUACGGCCCAGACUCCUACGGGAGGCAGCAGUGGGGAAUAUUGCACAAUGGGCGGAAGCCUGAUGCAGCGACGCCGCGUGAGGGAUGACGGCCUUCGGGUUGUAAACCUCUUUCAGCAGGGACGAAGCGUAAGUGACGGUACCUGCAGAAGAAGCACCGGCUAACUACGUG